rnacentral:rRNA from 1 species
UUGCUUCGGGUGGAUGAGUGGCGAACGGGUGAGUAACACGUGAGUAACCUGCCCCUGAUUUCGGGAUAAGCCUGGGAAACUGGGUCUAAUACCGGAUACGACCAAUCCUCGCAUGAGGGUUGGUGGAAAGUUUUUCGAUCGGGGAUGGGCUCGCGGCCUAUCAGCUUGUUGGUGGGGUAAUGGCCUACCAAGGCGACGACGGGUAGCCGGCCUGAGAGGGCGACCGGCCACACUGGGACUGAGACACGGCCCAGACUCCUACGGGAGGCAGCAGUGGGGAAUAUUGCACAAUGGGGGAAACCCUGAUGCAGCGACGCAGCGUGCGGGAUGACGGCCUUCGGGUUGUAAACCGCUUUCAGCAGGGAAGAAGCGAAAGUGACGGUACCUGCAGAAGAAGUACCGGCUAACUACGUGCCAGCAGCCGCGGUAAUACGUAGGGUACGAGCGUUGUCCGGAAUUAUUGGGCGUAAAGAGCUCGUAGGUGGUUGGUCACGUCUGCUGUGGAAACGCAACGCUUAACGUUGCGCGUGCAGUGGGUACGGGCUGACUAGAGUGCAGUAGGGGAGUCUGGAAUUCCUGGUGUAGCGGUGAAAUGCGCAGA